rnacentral:misc_RNA from 1 species
UUUCUUCAUAAAUAUGUAUAUUUCUUUGAACAAAUGCUAGCUUUUAACAAAAAAUAUUAUUUUUGAAAAAUUUACUGGCAGGAUAAGGGCUACAUUGUAAUGAACACCUUUCAGUUUGUACUGAUCUUUUGCCUUCCUUUGCCAUGCAGUGCCUCAACAAAAGAAAUAUUUUGUAUGUUGUCGAAUUCUGUCUUCUAAACCUUAUUCACACCUGUACAUCUCAAUGUGAGACAAGUGCUUUUUAUCAAUUCUUUAACAUACUGUAUAUUUUCUCAUGAUAUACAUUAUUUGUCUUAUGUAAGUAAAUGUACUGGAUAUUAUGAAACUGUCAGGCAAUUUCCAUCAUGAAUAAAUAUGAUGAUGAAAAA